GAUUUCUGGUUCGGCGCACUUGGCCCGUCUCGGUUUACGGGAUUGCGUGCCGGUGUGCGCCAUCCAUCCUUCGAGAGAACACUUCUACCCUCACGGGCUGGAGUGCUAUCUCGAUCUUUUACUUUGAAAAAAUUAGAGUGUUUAAAGCAGGCUUGCGCUAUGAAUACAUUAGCAUGGAAUAAUAAUUUAGGACUUUGGUCUUAUUUUGUUGGUUUCUAGGACUAAAGUAAUGAUUGAUAGGGACAGUUGGGGGUGCUAGUAUUCAGCGGCCAGAGGUGAAAUUCUUGGAUUCGCUGAAGACUAACUUAUGCGAAAGCAUU
rnacentral:rRNA from 3 species